rnacentral:rRNA from 1 species
GUAGGUGGCAAGCGUUGUCCGGGAAUUAUUGGGGCGUAAAGCGCGCGCAGGCGGUUCUUUAAGUCUGAUGUGAAAGCCCACGGGCUCAACCGUGGAGGGUCAUUGGAAACUGGAGAACUUGAGUACAGAAGAGGAAAGCGGAAUUCCACGUGUAGCGGUGAAAUGCGUAGAGAUGUGGAGGAACACCAGUGGCGAAGGCGGCUUUCUGGUCUGUAACUGACGCUGAGGCGCGAAAGCGUGGGGAGCAAACAGGAUUAGAUACCCUGGUAGUCCACGCCGUAAACGAUGAGUGCUAAGUGUUAGGGGGUUUCCGCCCCUUAGUGCUGCAGCUAACGCAUUAAGCACUCCGCCUGGGCAGUACGGCCGCAAAGGCUG